rnacentral:rRNA from 1 species
CUACGGGGGGCAGCAGUAGGGAAUAUUGGGCAAUGGGGGAAACCCUGACCCAGCAACGCCGCGUGAGGGAAGAAGGUUUUCGGAUUGUAAACCUCUGUCCUUGGGGAAGAAAAAAAUGACGGUACCCAAGGAGGAAGCUCCGGCUAACUACGUGCCAGCAGCCGCGGUAAUACGUAGGGAGCAAGCGUUGUCCGGAAUUACUGGGCGUAAAGGGUGUGUAGGCGGCAUAUUAAGUCAGAUGUGAAAUGUAGGGGCUCAACCCCUGAACUGCAUUUGAAACUGAUAAGCUUGAGUGCGAGGAGGUAAGUGGAAUUCCUAGUGUAGCGGUGGAAUGCGUAGAUAUUAGGAGGAACACCAGUGGCGAAGGCGACUUACUGGCUCGUAACUGACGCUGAGACACGAAAGCGUGGGGAGCAAACAGGAUUAGAUACCCCAGUAGUC